UGCCCUUUGGUUAAAGGUCAGUGUGCAAAUGCUGUCGGCUACUAGGUGGCCCCUGAGCUUUCUCGACAUCUCCUGCUUGUGUAAGUCACACUGACAGUGCAGAUGACGUCCGGCUGUUCGCCUUCGUGCGCUUCACCACCGGCGACGCCAUGAGCAAAAGGUCCAAGUUUGCCCUCAUCACGUGGAUCGGAGAGGACGUGAGUGGGCUGCAGCGUGCCAAGACGGGGACAGACAAGACGCUGGUGAAGGAGGUGGUCCAGAAUUUUGCCAAGGAGUUUGUGAUCAGCGAUCGGAAGGAGCUAGAGGAAGACUUCAUCAGGAGCGAGCUGAAGAAGGCUGGA
rnacentral:lncRNA from 1 species